CAGCAGCCGCGGGAAUACGAAGGGGGCUAGCGUUGCUCGGAAUGACUGGGCGUAAAGGGCGCGUAGGCGGUUUUGACAGUCAGAUGUGAAAUUCCUGGGCUUAACCUGGGGGCUGCAUUUGAGACGUCAAGACUAGAGUGUGAGAGAGGGUUGUGGAAUUCCCAGUGUAGAGGUGAAAUUCGUAGAUAUUGGGAAGAACACCGGUGGCGAAGGCGGCAACCUGGCUCAUUACUGACGCUGAGGCGCGGAAGCGUGGGGAGCAAACAGGAUUAGAUACCCCCGUAGUCCCUGUCUCUUAUAC
rnacentral:rRNA from 1 species